UCCUGGUUAGCUGAGUUGGUAGAGCGCUCCACUGGAAAUGGAGAGGUCCCUGGGUCGAUACCAGGACCAAGCG
rnacentral:tRNA from 1 species